AGAAAGUUAGUCUAACCAAGACAACUGAUUUCGACUCAGUAGACCAUAGCCCACACCUAUGACUUUCUU
rnacentral:tRNA from 1 species